CACGGGGGGAGCAAGCGUUGUUCGGAAUCACUGGGCGUAAAGGGCGUGUAGGCGGUCUGGUAAGUGGGAUGUGAAAGCCCCCGGCUCACCCGGGGAUCUGCAUUCCAAACUGCCAGACUUGAGUAUGGGAGAGGACAGGGGAAUUCCUGGUGUAGCGGUGAAAUGCGUAGAUAUCAGGAGGAACACCGGUGGCGAAGGCGCCUGUCUGGCCCAAUACUGACGCUGAGGCGCGAAAGCUAGGGGAGCAAAC
rnacentral:rRNA from 1 species